rnacentral:rRNA from 1 species
GUCUAUGACCAUACCACCCUGAACAUGCCUAAUCUCAUCUGAUCUGGAAAAUUAAGUAGAGUCAGGCCUGGUUAGUACUGGGAUAGGAGACUGCCUGGGAAUAUGGAGUGCUAUAGACU